UUUGCUGCAAGAAAAAAGUUUUUUGGACAGAGACGAGAUUCGGUGUGAUCGGCUUAUCUAAAGCUUCAUAUUUCACGACUUCGACCGAGAUUCAACAGACCAUACAUACUCGGCAGAUUGUGCUCAAUCAAGACAAAGCAAACAUGGCUCACAAUUUUGAACUGCUGUGCCGUCUUGCAAGAGAGUGAGAUUCAGCAACACAUAGAAAGACCACAGCAUGGAUUAAGAGACAGGAAGAAUCCAUUUGAAUACUAUGAGGAUGAACCUCUCAGAGUGGGGUACCAACAGAGAGAACCACACAUUGCCUGUCAUGUUACAGGUUUUGACAGGACUUUGUUUUAUGUCAUUGGUACCUUUUAGAAGAUGCAAGCAGACGAAGCAACUAUAUCACAGUCAUCCGUGUGCAGAAUCAUCAAAGAUUUUUCUGAGGCAAUAGCAAGGAGUAACAGUCAAUGAAGUUUCCGAUGACGAGAAAUUCAAACCACCCAGCGACAAUUUGAUGAUUGCUACAGGUUUCCAAGAGUCAUAGGUGCUAUCGAUUGGGGCCAAUCCAGGCCAUGUCUGCAUCAGGAGUCCUGAUGGGGAACAAGCCCUGUACUUACCAGGAAGAACAGGUCUUCUGUAAAUGUAUAGGUAUCCGUUGCUCCCCUCUUUGAUGAAUUCCUGCCUGCAUUCUGUUGUCAAUAGAAAAGGACGGUGUGCUACGGGUAUAAGCAUUCCAUUGGAUUAUCUGUGCAUGAAAGUGGACACUUGUGAUAAAAAAUGGUAGCUUGGUUGUAGUGGCGUACCUAGGAUUUUCCACAGGGAGGGCAAAACCGUUCGGCCGAAAAAUUUUACAAGUAAAAAAAAAAAGGUCUUCAAUCACAAAUAAAGGAUUUCGUAGCAGAAAAAAAAUUGACAAGCAAAAAAAAAAGGUGUUCAAGCUCGUCAGGGGGGCAGGUAUACGUCCUUUGCAUGGGUUGUGGCUCGUCAGGGGGGGGGGGGCAGAGUGGCCCCCCCCCCCGUAGGUACGCUAGUGCUUGGUUGAUAGGAUGUAUUCAUGCAUUCCGAUUUAUCAUUAGUGAUCAAAUGACCAUCUUGCUUUUUAAAAACCCAAGUUCACAACAUUUUUCUUGUUUGAUAAAAGGUUUGGGACGUGAAUUCCAGGAUAUAAAUGACACAUAUGAUGGGCUAAUGUAUAAGCAGGGACAUGAGAGGUAUAAGCAACAUUUUUUUCAUGCUUAAUUAAGUUUGGCAUGAGAUGGACUUGGUCUUUCUUAUGAUUCAAGUCUAUUUUAUACCAAUUUUGUUUUAAUCAACAAUCAAUGUUUUAAGUCUCAUGAUUUCAAUUUCAAAACCUCUUUGUUAAUUAAAUAUUCAUUUUUCCUUAGCAUUUGCAUCUUCUUAAUUUAUCAAAUUUAAAUUAUAAGAUAUCAUUUUUGCUGAAUAUCCCUUUUUUCACCUAUUUUCAUAGGCCCUAAGAUACAUUUCUGUAGUAAGCACUAUAAAUACAUUGCAAGCUAUUAUCAUUUGUUUGAUAUUACUAUUUUAUAGAAUCAUCUUUUAAUUUCUUUCAGAAAGAUAUUUGACAAAUUACUUGUGAUAUCCAUGCUUUAGCUGUAGAGUUUAAAAUCUUCAUUAAAGGAGAAUGAAACCCUUGAAACCAGCUGAAUCCAUAUCAAAGAAAAAAUUCAAAGAAACAUAUUGUUGAAAGUUUGAGGAAGAUUGAAUGAAUAAUAAGAAAGUUAUGAGCAUUUGAAUAUUGAGAUCACUAAUGCCAUGUAGAUCCUCCCAUUGGCAAUGCGACCAAGAUCUGUGAUGUCACACACGUACAACUCCCUCAUUGCUUUAGUACUUAUUUCACUUAUAUUCUCACUUAUUAUAGAAUCUAUCACAAGGUGAGGUGUUCUCUUUAUGAGAGGACAAGUACAGAGGUUUCACAACAUUAUAUCAUUGAUGAAUCGUUUGUCAUAUGAUUAGAAUGAGCAAAAAGAGAUGUUUUGGGGUAUAUUUUCAGUGUCCAAAAGGGGAGAGUUGUUCAUCUGUGAUAUCAUAGAUCUUGUUGCGUUGCCAAUGGGAGGAUCUCCAUAGCAAUAGUGAUCUCGACAUUCAAAUGCUCAUAACUCUUCUAUUGCUAGUCCUAUUUUACUCAAACUUUUGUUGAUCUUAUUCUUUGAUUUUUCUGCUUUCACAAAAGCUAACUUGCUCCAAGAGUUUCAUUCUCCUUUAAACUUUAUUUAAUCUGUUGUUUAUCUAUUUUCAUUCAGAGUUUCUGAAAACGUAAACAUAUCAUUUGUAUCAUUAUGUAAAGAAUUUCAAUCUACCUUAAAAAGUAAUGCACUAAAUAAACUGCUCUGUCUACUACACAUGUACAUAUAAGUUUUGAUUUUAAAGGUCAAGUCCUCCCCAGAAAAAAAUUCGAUUUGAAUUAAUAGAAAAAAAAUCAACCGAGCAUAAUGCUGAGAAUUUCAUCAAAAUCCGCGUCGUUUGUAAAAUAGGAACGUUAUGAAAUUUUCAAGUUUGGCUUAUUUUUCACAACACAGUUAUAUGCACAGAUCAGUGACAUGCAAAUGAGACAGUCAAUGAUGUCCACAUGUUCGGGGGGGGGGGGGGGGACUAAUCUUGGUUUCACUUGACAAUGAAGGGAAAAUUUGAAUAUUUCAUCUCGUAGAAUUAAAAGAAAUAGUUUGCAUGCCGACUGGGAUGUACAUAUAAGUUUGUAGUCAAGCAAAACUUUAAAAAUGUCAUAACUUAAUAUCUUUACAUCAGAUUUUGAUGAAAUUUUCAGUGUUAUACGCUCGUGUUUUUCUCUUUUUAUUCAAAUCAACUUUGUGGGGGUGGACUUGUCCUUUUAUAUCGUUUUCAAGUAAUUGUGUCAGGAGAAAACAAAAAUGAAAUUCUUUUAUCAAUUCUGUCCAUAUGCUGCAUGGUUCAUCGUUCUUGCAGGAGGCAAAAAAUAAAUUUAUAUAAGAAA